rnacentral:tRNA from 1 species
GCGCACGUAGCUCAGGUGGAUCAGAGCGCCAGCUUGCGGAGCUGGAGGCCGGAGGUUCGAGUCCUCCCGUGCGCGCCA